rnacentral:rRNA from 1 species
CCUACGGGGGGCUGCAGUGGGGAAUAUUGGACAAUGGGGGGAACCCUGAUCCAGCCAUGCCGCGUGUGUGAAGAAGGCCCUCGGGUUGUAAAGCACUUUCAGUGAGGAAGAACGCCUGGUGGUUAAUACCCAUCAGGAAAGACAUCACUCACAGAAGAAGCACCGGCUAACUCCGUGCCAGCAGCCGCGGUAAUACGGAGGGUGCGAGCGUUAAUCGGAAUUACUGGGCGUAAAGCGCGCGUAGGUGGCUUGAUAAGCCGGUUGUGAAAGCCCCGGGCUCAACCUGGGAACGGCAUCCGGAACUGUCAAGCUAGAGUGCAGGAGAGGAAGGUAGAAUUCCCGGUGUAGCGGUGAAAUGCGUAGAGAUCGGGAGGAAUAACAGUGGCGAAGGCGGCCUUCUGGACUGACACUGACACUGAGGUGCGAAAGCGUGGGUAGCAAACAGGAUUAGAUACCCGUGUAGUC